AACUCGGGGACUGCAACUCCCUGAUGAGCCCCAAAAAGGGCGAAACUGGUA
rnacentral:hammerhead_ribozyme from 13 species